UUUUUCACCUAGUCGGCUCAGGGGAUUAGAACCAGCGACCUUUCGGUUACUGGCACAACGCUCUUAACCACUGAGCUACCUGCCGCUCCCUGACUACCUUCCUGUAUUGUACUGUACUAUUGCUACGCUAAAGCUGACAUCUCUGUUCCUGGUUCAGGUUCCUGAGCUGUCUGACUGAUUUAAUGAAGCGCUCACUUCUCAACUGAACAGAGGACAGUUUUAAAGAAGGAUAUAAAGCAUUUGGAAGAAGGAUUUAAAACACUUGGAAGGUAAUUGAAGCGUCGACUGGCCGACCAGCCGACCAGAAGCACCAUGACUAGUGUUAACUCCCCCGCCUGCCUCCUGGCUCGCAACCAGUUCUAUAGAAACACCAGAAGCCCUACAGAAAGUACAAGACCUACUACAGUCUACAGCCUCUCUGAUUGGUCGACGCUAGCACCCAAACAAAGACAAGUAACGGUCUGGGUGACCAUGUCAACACAACCAGGAUUCCCAGGAGCAGGGGGGAUAUCUAGAGGACGGCGGGUCAGUGUGGUUUUGGGGAGCUCCACACCCCGUACAGCCCCCGUCAAGAGCCCCCAACCCAGCCAACAGAGCUGUCCAGUAGAGACACACCAUCACCAAUCAACAGAUUGAAACACACAGAGGGAAAGACUCUGGGAAAGACCCAGCCCAAUUAGAGACACAUCACCACAGAGAGGGAAAGACUCUGGGAAAGACCCAGCCCAAGUAGAGACACACCACCACAGAGGGAAAGACUCUGGGAAAGACCCAGCCCAAGUAGAGACACACCACCACAGAGGGAAAGACUCCAAGAGGAAGAUGAGCGAGAAAGACAUCUUCCUCUCUGUCUGUCCUCUCAGCACAGAAAUAUGGACUUGAUCAAGCCAGUCAAUGUUGGACAUGUUUUCCAUAUUGCUCUGCUCUCUACCCUGACUCCUGCUCCCUGACUCCUGUUUUUGGAGGCAGAAGGAAGGGUGAGAAAAAUAAGCAAUUUCUGCAAGCGCUCUCUAAAACAGACUAUAUUAUUCAAUCCCACCACAUACAGCCUGCUAAAUGGCAUAUUAUUAUUAU